GGUACAGCUGGUUGAAACAACUAUGUGGCUUACCUCUGUUUGAUCUCUGUUGAAACGUAGUUUCUUUCCCUUCUCCCCGUGGCAAAAGACCUCUACUUGUUGUUGACAUGAGAUUCUAUCCCAAGAACAUUUCCUGUCCCUUUUACCUAUUAUUGCUUCUACACUUCACCAACAACAAUGGAUUUUUUGCCUGUGACCUAGUGUGGGAGGAUUUCCUACCUCUCCUCCAACAUUUUGCAAUGUAGAUUUUCAUUAAAGGCCUGAUGAUUUCAACUGGUUGCUGUCACACGAUCUCUUCAUCAGUCCACUUUCAGGUUACUGAGAGUAGUGCUUUUCAUCCUUUGUCACCACCAUAUCACCAGCACCUGGCACAAUG
rnacentral:lncRNA from 10 species